GGGGUCCGCCCGUCAUACCUUGUCUCUGCCGCUCCGUCCUCCUCAGGGGGAGGAGGAGGACUCCUCCCUCGGCCCUGCUCCACUGUGGGGUCCCUCCUGCGGGAGACAGCCCUUCACGAACCUCUCCAAGGUUCUUAUACUGCACCCAAGACUGUGGUGUCUGAACACCUCAUACAGCUAAGCACCCAUCAAGUCACAGACUGUCCCUUGUAAAAAUAGCACAAACCUCCUUUGGGAAGAAGAAUGAAAGAAUCUUGUUGCAGGGCAUCCCUGAAACAAGACCUAAGCCUAGCCUUCAGUGUGGUUUUGCUUGUGCUCCAAGGAGCCGACGGAGAGAGGGAGUGGAGAAGCCGGCUGAAACUAUCCCUGCUGCCCCGGCAGGAUGACCAGCUGAGCUGGGAAAGACAAGGAAGCACGCGCAAGUGACUAGAAAAACAGAAUCUCGCCCUAAUCAGAUGUCCUAUCCUUACAAAAUAAGGUACCAAGCUCCCUGGCAGCAUCAGAGGAAGAUGAAUCAAGUCCACAGAGAGGGUUUACUCUGUAUACCAGUUCUAUCAAAUGGAAUAAACAAUAAAAUCAUAUAACAUUGAAA